CGGAAUGUAGCGCAGCUUGGUAGCGCACUUGUCUGGGGGAUAAGUGGUCGCAGGUUCAAAUCCUGCCAUUCCGACCA
rnacentral:tRNA from 3 species